rnacentral:rRNA from 1 species
UACGGGGGGGGCAAGCGUUGUUCGGAAUUACUGGGCGUAAAGGGCUCGUAGGCGGCCAACUAAGUCAUACGUGAAAUCCCCCGGCUUAACCGGGGAACUGCGUCUGAUACUGGAUGGCUUGAGUUCGGGAGAGGGAUGCGGAAUUCCAGGUGUAGCGGUGAAAUGCGUAGAUAUCUGGAGGAACACCGGUGGCGAAGGCGGCAUCCUGGACCGAUACUGACGCCGAGGAGCGAAAGCCAGGGGAGCAAACGGG